UACGUAGGGUGCAAGCGUUAAUCGGAAUUACUGGGCGUAAAGCGUGCGCAGGCGGCUUUGCAAGACAGAUGUGAAAUCCCCGGGCUUAACCUGGGAACUGCAUUUGUGACUGCAUGGCUAGAGUGCGGCAGAGGGGGAUGGAAUUCCGCGUGUAGCAGUGAAAUGCGUAGAUAUGCGGAGGAACACCGGUGGCGAAGGCGGGUCUCUGGGCCGUAACUGACGCUGAGGAGCGAAAGCGUGGGGAGCGAACAGG
rnacentral:rRNA from 1 species